UUCUGGUUGUAGAGCUUAUUUCUUCGAGUCUCUGGCCCUGAGCUUGGCCUUGCGAACAGCCUGGGCACAGCUGCUAGCAGAUAGGAUGUGAGGCUGCAAUCAGCAUGAUGUCUGGGCCUGGCUCUGCACUCUGUCAUCUGCUGUGAGAAGCACACACCGGAGGAGCCACAGGUGGUCCUUGUGCAAUGCCACUGGAAGGAGACAGCUCACCAGCACUGCCCUUGUUCUGAAGUUGGACUGAGGACCUGCCCAGCUCCAGCCUGGUGAGCCCUGUUUCAGAGGAAGGCAAGUCCUCCAGCAAACCCUGGUGCUCUUCAAGAUGAGUGACCCUCCUCUUCUGUGCAUGUACUCCAAGCCGACCCAUCUGGAGCGUCCAUGGUUUGAGGUCAGAAUUAGGACACUCUCGCCUCGGAGAACCCUACCCUGGCCACCUUUGACUUCUGUCCAGGCUCACUAGUACCAACUGGAAGCUGUCUGUCUCCAGCUGCUGUUUCCUCUCAGAAUCCCCAGCUCCUGGGGCAGAACCUCCAUGGAGAUGCCCAGUGUUUUAGAGCAAGGCUUUUUCAGAUGAAUGAGGAAGAUGGAGCAUCUUUACUUUCAGAGAGCUGGCAUCCUGUGAGCAGCAGACAGUAAAUCAUUUGUCAAGUUCUGACAAGUGCUGUACAGCAAAGAGAAUGAUGGUGGGAGGUACUGUGUUCCAUACAGUGGCCCAGCAGGCAUCUGAUGGGAUGAUCCUUGAGCCGAGAGCUGAAAGGUAACCAUUCUCCAUGGACUCAGUGAGCCUAGAGAUGGAAUCGUUCCCCUCUGUCCUCCUAGACCCCUGAGCUGGAGCUGCUGAACAGCACCCUGGAACUGCUGCGGGUGAACUGGGCCAAGCUGUGAGAUAUGGAGUGGCAGGCUGCAGAGGUGCUCAGAUGGUGCAUUCACCCCUGCAAAGUGGACCCUGGGCUACACUGCUUGCUUCCCCCAGGUUUACUACAGGGGAGCACACUCCCACAUGUUUGAGUCUUAGACUCCUACCUGAGCCAUGGCUUCCCCAAGCACAUUAUUCUGCUCCUUCCUUCUUGCUUGCUGUUCCACCAUCGUGCUUGGCUGCAUUCUAGGAAGCUGCUCUCUCUCCCUCAGUCCUCACCAGCAAGUGAAGGGGGGAAAGCUUGGACACCAUGACACCGAGGAACCAGCCAGUCUUCUGUCUCCUUGUCCUCCGCUGUGGGCUUCAGCCCAGGAACUUGGCCCAGUGGCGUCCCCCAGCCCACCUCCUCCUCCUGGGAGUGGAGCCAAAGAAGAGUUAAACUCCCUGGAGUGGACUUGGGCUCUUUGGCAGAGGACAGCCUGGGAAAGCUGUUUGUUUGGCUCCGUUUACCUCAGGUUAGUUGCAUGGAAACAGAGCCCAGAACGUGGGAAUUCCAUGGGAUGGGGAGAGGUUUUUGCCCUUCCUCUCUCCCUCCUUUCCUCCGUACUGUGGACCUGCAUCUUACAACAUGGAAAUAACACUUAGCUUCUUCAGGAGUGGCCAUAGUGUUCCUUUGGUCUUUCUGUCCUCCCAAGAAAGGAAAGCCCCAGUGUACCCCAAUGGAAUCCUUAACAGGUUUUGCCCCUAACCCCCAUUCCCCUGCCUUUCUUCCUGAGCUCCUGAGCUUUCUCUGAGGCACAGACCAAGAGCCCCAAGCCACACAGGCUGUGGAAGUUAAUGUCCAGCGUGGGGACAUGACCUCAGGCUGCCCCCACUGAGGGUCUGCUGUGGGUCUGGGCAGGAGAGAAGGCAAGUCAGGGAGGGAGCCUCUUUAAUGCUGUGAGGGUGGAAGGUCAGAGAAGACACACUUCACCACCUAGCGCAUUGGUGCAGGCUUGCACUGCUAGGCUGGCCAUCUGCAGCAUGCUUAUAUCUGGCAGUCGGCAGUUCAGAGCCCCAGACUGAGCCCUUGCAUUGCUGAGAAGCAGUGGUUGGAGGAGCUCUUUGGAUGGACCUCUCCUGCUGCCAAGCCCAGCGGAGCCCAGAAGCCUGGGAACAACCAUGUUAGCAAAGUCUCUCACCUAUUUUCAAGCUUUGCCUCCUUAUUUUGACAUUUCCAGCUACACAGGCUGUGGCUAUUCCUUGUGCCCAGUUGCUUCCUGUAGACCCUGGGACAUAAUGAGCAUCCCUCCCUCCCCUGCACCCCAUGCACAGCACACACACACACCCCUCCCUGAAGUUAUAUUAAGUGCUCGGAUGCCAUCAGCCCUCCCCCGGAGCAGACUUUCUCUCUUUGGUCCUGAAUGUCUUCAUAAAUUAGGAAUCCACAACAUGUGGUCUUGGGGGCCAUCAGGUCAACCCCUUAAUGUACAGGGAGGGCCAGAGCCCACAGGUCAUGCAGUGCAUUCUGGGGAAAUGCAGCAAAUUCCUGUGGAGCCUGUGCUGGUGCUAGUGCUGCCAAUACCGUGCCUCAGCCCCUGCCAGGGUCCAAAUGCUAAUCUGCUCCUACUGAGUUCCUCAAAACAGUUGUGUGAGAUCAGAUGCAGUGGACCCUGGUCUUGUUUCCCUCGCACCGGUAAUGUGGCUGCCAGGAAUAUCUCAGAGCCCGUGGUCACUCCCACGCAGGUGUCCUGUGAGGGUGAGUGAGCCUCAAGCCACUUUGCAAUGUAUACCAGUGAGAAGUGUCUGAGGCUAGGCAACAGCAUGAAAAGCAAUCUGAGCAAGUAAGGUUUACCACUGUGGGAUGCUGCAUGCCUGCUUUUAGCCUCCACUCCCCUCUGAAGGGACUGGGUGGGCUGUCCUCUGCCGGUGGCCUUGUGGACCCAGGGCUUCAGCCCAGUUAUUUCCUCCUCCUGUUCUCUUUGAUGGCCUGUGGCCAUUGGCAGGUGGAUAGAGGUGAUCAUCUGAAACAUGACCUAUGCCAGCCAACACUCUAGCUUUCUCCUUCCUGUUCUGUUGAUGCCAAUAGAACCAGCCACAGGCCAGUCCACUGGCCUAAAUUAGAGGACACAGGAAAUAACUCCAAAUUCUCCCACUGCCAAGCCCAGCCAAGGCUAGAAGUCCAGGGGCAACCAUGUUAGCAAGACUUUAAAUGGUUGCUAUUGGCAGCUACUAGGCUUUGAGAUUGCUUGUUACGCACAAUUUUUUUCAGCAGUUGCUGACCAGCCCAACAUGUUCAAGGAUGAGGUGGGAAGUUGGAAGUAUGGCAAUUGCUCUGAAGUUACCUUAUGAAUUCAAUACAUUAUCUAAUCAAACUCUCAAUAGGAAUUUUUAGAACUUGAAAAACAGAUUCUAAUUUAUGUAUAGAAAAAUAAACUCUAUGAAUAGCUUAGAACAUUUUGAAAAAGAUGAGCGAAAUUUGGGGCAUUGGAGAAAGCUCAUUUACUAGACUCUAAAACAGAAUACAAAGCCACCAGACUUGGAAGUGUGGGACUGGGAGAGAAGGCAGACAGAGCCCCAGGAGUGGAAGGGGCUUGGAGAAAGAGAUCAGGUACAUGAUAACAUGUAUGGGGGGAAAGGAUAGAUCAUUCGCUAAUAGGGUUGGGAAAUGUGGGCAGUAUGUGGAGAAAAAUGAAAUUGUUUCCCCCUUCACACCAUGUUAACUAAAUUAACUCCAGAUGGAUUCAGCACAUAAAUGAGAACAAUGAAACAAUAAAGAUGAUUUCUUAAGGGCAGGAAAAUAUCUUAGUGAGCUUGAGGUGAGGAGAAGGACUUUCUAAUCAAGAUGAUACUAGAGGUCCUGAGGCUAGAGGUAACUAGAGGUUUGUCAGUCAGGGUGACCUUUUCCUCACCAGGGGAGGACACCAGAGAUCGGGUGGCCAGACCUGCAAUGUGGGGGACUCAGGAAGGAGUCACAGCAGGAGAGCCAAGCAUGUCGUGAGCAGAAGGAGUAGAAGAUGGGACACCCAGCACAGGGAGAGCAGCAGGUGGACAGAGGCCACCCACAGAGCAGAAGCACCAAUGGUCAGUCAGGGACAAACAUGCUUAAUAUCCCCAGUGGCUGGCAAUGUGCAGGGGGCCCUGGAGGAACAGCCUUUAGGAUGAUGUGGACAUUUGCAGGGAAGAGACAUCUGUCUCUGGGGAGCAGUGGAACCAUGCUGAGUCCUAGCUGGCCUGUUCUCUGCACUGUCACUAGAGGGGACAAGAAUGAGAGGCCCACUGGUUUCCCAUCACAGAGGCCCAGCUCAGGGGAGAGGGCUGUGACCUGCUAGCUGCACACACAAGAAUGCGGACCAGGUCUCAGUGACAAAAGUCACCAGUGCUGGAUGGACUCAGAGGCCCCAGCAAUUUCCAAGGCAGUUGCACCCUGGGAAGGGGCUUUCCAGGAGGCAUUGGGGGUGACACCUUCCUGCUUACGGCCCCACUGUUCACAGCAUGUUCAGUGGCCAGCAGGGAUCUCAGGGCCUUCUCCUGGGCCCAGCCUAUGCCCUACAGGUCAGAGGAGGGGGCUGGAGUGGUAGGGCUCAUGGAACAUCCAGGCUUAUCAUCCACCUUCUCUGGGCCCCUGAGUUUUGAGUUGCAGGUCAUCUCUCAAGGGGAAUCCUGCCUCAGUUUCCUCACAGUGCCCUCUGAGCCUAGCCUGCUCAUGACCAACCCACCCAGCCCUGAGACUUGCUGUGGAGGGGCCAGUGUGCCCCACCAGGCCACUGCCCCCCUGACUUGUAGAGUUACCACCCACUGGACCACUGACUGUGCCUGACCCAGCAGCAGGCUUAGCCCACACCCCAAGGGCAGCCCGAGCCCAGCCCCAGCUCCAGGCAAUGCCUUUGUCUCUUGUGACCCCCGUAGGACCCUCAGUGGGCCAACCCUGGAUCCGGUUGAUCAGUUCCACCAUGCUGACUAGGGUUGGCCUGGUUCAUAGCAUGCCUGAAUUCCCCAGAGCAGCAGGUCCUGCCUGUCAGGGGGAUGGAUUCUGCACACAUGCGGUUUAACACUCAUUACUAUUUUCGGUUUGAAACUCAACAUGACACCCAGUCUGGAUGGUGAUAUCUGACACAUUACAGGUGAGAGCUUCGCGGGUGUGGGCUUUGGCCUUCUGCCUCCUCUGCCUGGCAUGGCUUUGGGCAAAGAGCUGACACUCCGAUUGGAUUGUUGGCACCUUGCCCCAUCCCCCUUCCUCUGCCAAGAGCCCCACAGGUUGGAAUCUGUCAUUUUGUUCUACUUACAGCCAGCACCUACAGGUGUCUUUUGGCUUUGGACCAGACCAAUCUUGUCUUCUACCCUGUUGCUGCUUUAGGGAUGAGGCAUGUCCUCUGCUCCUGUGAUUUAGGUCAGCACUCAGACUUCUGAGUCUCACUGUUCAAGAUAUGAGCCUAAAGCUGCUUGCUUGGAGUGCCUUUCCACCACAGAUGCUAGAAACAGAACAAACAGGGAGAACAAAGUCAGAAAAGGAACGAGACCAAGUGUGAGCUCCUGGACCCAGCCAUGCCUGAAGCACAAACCCCUUGACUGUCCAGUCAUUAUUUGAGCCAAGGGCUCCCUUUUUUCCCUUUCCCUUUCUUUUUUUUCUUUUCUUUCUGUGUGUGUGU